rnacentral:RNase_P_RNA from 2 species
GAAGCACGCCAGACCGCCGCUGGUGCAAUCUGGGAAACCAGGCACUGGAGGAACGUCCGGACUGCACAGGACAGCGUAGCAGCUAACGGCUGCCCACCGUGAGGUGAGGAUCAGAGCAACAGAGACGAGUCCCGGGGGAGUGCCGCAAGGUAGACCACCGGGGGUGAAACGGGCAAUCUCUACGCGCAGCAAUACCAAGUAGGCCAACGUUGAUGUGGUUCCGCAGAGUUGGCGGGUAGGUAGCACCGAGCCGUGGUGGCGACACCCGGCCCAGAUUAAUGGCGGUCACACUGCGGGCAACCGUGGUGCACAGAAUCCGGCUUAUCGGCGCGCUUCACAC